GAUGAACGCUAGCGGCAGGCCUAAUACAUGCAAGUCGAACGGUGUAGCAAUACACAGUGGCGCACGGGUGCGUAACACGUAUGCAACCUACCUAUUAUUGGGGGAUAGCCUUUGGAAACGGAGAUUAAUACCGCAUAAGACAGUGACAUGGCAUCAUGUAGCUGUUAAAGCUUUGGCGAUAAUAGAUGGGCAUGCGUUCGAUUAGUUAGUUGGUGAGGUAAUGGCGCACCAAGACGAUGAGUGGUAGGGGAUCUGAGAAGAUAAUCCCCCACACUGGCACUGAGAUACGGGCCAGACUCCUACGGGAGGCAGCAGUAGGGAAUAUUGGGCAAUGGACGGAAGUCUGACCCAGCCAUGCCGCGUGCAGGAUGACGGCGUUAUGCGUUGUAAACUGCUUUUUUAUAGGAAGAAGAAGCCCUUGCGAGGGAAAGUGACGGUACUAUAAGAAUAAGCACCGGCUAACUCCGUGCCAGCCGCCGCAGUAAAAC
rnacentral:rRNA from 1 species